rnacentral:rRNA from 1 species
GCCUGCCCAGUGAUAUAUUAUUUAACGGCCGCGGUAUCCUAACCGUGCAAAGGUAGCGCAAUCACUUGUUCUUUAAAUAAGGACUAGUAUGAAUGGCAUCAUGAAGAUCAACUUGUCUCUCACGAUAAGUCUAUGAAACUGAUCUUCCAGUACAAAAGCUGGAAUAAGACCACAAGACGAGAAGACCCUGUGGAGCUUCAAACUUCACAUCACCAAAAUGAUUAAUGCAGUUUUUAGUUGGGGCGACUUUGGAGAAAAACACAACCUCCAAACCUACAAACUUAGGCCGACACGCCAUAAGCCACAUUCAUAUGACCCAAUAUAAUUGAUUAAUGAACCAAGUUACCCCAGGGAUAACAGCGCAAUCCUCUUCUAGAGUCCCUAUCGACAAGAGGGUUUACGACCUCGAUGUUGGAUCAGGAUACCCGAAUAGUGCAGCCGCUAUUAAAGGUUCGUUUGUUCAACGAUUAACAAUCCUACGUGAUCUGAGUUCAGACCGG